GUGGCGCAAUAGGCAGCGCGUUCGGCUGUUAACCGAAAGGUUGGUGGUUCGAGCCCACCC
rnacentral:tRNA from 1 species